UUCUUGAUGGUUGCGCUCAUGUUGUUGUUUCAGCCAAGGAUUAUGAUCAUGAAAGAACUCAAGAAGGAGCUGAUGAUCGAUCAUGACACUCACAGCGAUUGUCAGAAGCGAGUCAAAACUGAUACACUGGUCCUAGAACUGAGGUAUCUUGAUCCACACGCAAGAGAGUGAUCUUUCUCCUUUUAACCUAAUUCUCAAUCGCUCUGUUUCUUAGGGGAACUUCUUCUGAGAAGGCAACAGAGAGAGUCACUAACGCUGAGGAAGAGAAGAGCACUUCCGUAGAAGGAGAAGCACUAAAGCCACGUCUAGUAGUGGACAAGAAAUACGUUCUCAAACUUGUAAGUCCUCUGUUUCCAAGUCCAGAAGCUUUUGUAAGUUUUGACUUCAUUUGUUUUUUACUUGCUUAGCAAGAAAGAUUCAACGUAGCUCCAGCAAAGAUCCAACAAGAAACGGCUGAACCGAGCGAUACUAAUACUACUGCAAAGAUCCAAAAAGACAAGGCAGAAGCGAGUGCUACUACCACCACUACUCCAGAAGAGUUACCUUUCCCAAGCUGGGGCCAUGUUGCUCCUGAGUCUCUUGUUAACAGCAUCAUCAAUAUAAGAAUAUACGGUGACAACGACCACCUUCAAUUCCAAAUCAAAGCCUAUAACGCAGAAACGGUAACUUUCUUCACUGUUUCCUUUCUGUGUCUUGUCCAUCAAGUUAGGUCUAAGAAACCCUAGCUUUCCGAUUUCAUAACAGGAAAUGCACCAGCUGGUGACUUUAGGAAACACAAAGGAACAGGACGACCCGUUGGACUGGAUCGAUAUUAGAUAUUUUCCAAGGGAAGAUAUAGUAUGGCAAAAUCAACAUCCCGGGUUCACAACACGCAACUGCUUACUUAAACCAGGCCAAACCAUCUUGAACGCAACCACUACAGCUCGUGAGAAGACGCCAAUCAAAGUGGUAAUAUAUAUAUAUAUCUUGCUCCUUCAAAAGUUUCUUUCACCCUUCACUGACACAACUCUCUCUGAUAGGUUGGAAGAUCUGCCAGUGGGAUUCCUAUUAUCAAGAUCAAGAAACUUGAUAAGGGAAAAGCUAAAGCGCAGUAGGGGGAUGUAGAGAAGACCAGAAGCAUGACAAGAAUCAAGACAAGAACACUCUCUUUUAGACUUGUUUCAGAUCUUUUUCUCUUUUAGUAUCGCUGUACAUAUGUUUUUGAUGCCUUAGUAGAUUCUUGAGACUAUAUAAGAUAGUUAAAG